GUCCACGCUGUAAACGAUGGGCACUAGGUGUUCGGGGUAUUGACCCCCUGAGUGCCGCAGCUAACGCAUUAAGUGCCCCGCCUGGGGACUACGGCCGCAAGGUUAAAACUCAAAGGAAUUGACGGGGGCCCGCACAAGCGGUGGAGCAUGUGGUUCAAUUCGACGCAACGCGAAGAACCUUACCUGGGCUAGACAACAUCGGACAGCUUUAGAAAUAAGGUCUUCCCGCAAGGGACCGGUGGUUCAGGUGCUGCAUGGCUGUCGU
rnacentral:rRNA from 1 species